rnacentral:misc_RNA from 1 species
GGCUAAUCUAUCGGUUUUCAGGGAAUUUGAUCACGGACAAUUUAACCAGUUUUGAUGCUCUUUUCCAACAUUUAAAUAUUGAUUAAAAUCAAUUUUUGAAGUUAAUGUUAAUAAUGUUUAUACAUUGAAUGCAUGGUGAAUUUUUUGUUAACUUUUUGUUUUUGCAAAGAGUAAUUUCAAACUCCCUGUAAAAAGAGGCUUAUUCGGUAAGGCUAAACAUUUUGUGCGUUUUUUACUGCCCCGCAUCCCGUAAAAAACAUUCCACAUUGAUGUUCAAUUAUUGCUAAAUAGCUCACAGAUUUUUUCUGUAGGUUAUCAACACUUAUUAUUUUAUACAUUUAGUCUAUUUUUAUUUUACUUAUAAUUAACACCGCAAAGAAACUAUCUCAUUGCACACGCGCCAUCAUCCCACCGGGAUUACCC